rnacentral:lncRNA from 1 species
AAUAUCACGAAGCUCAAAGAAGUAGGGAAUAAUAGCAUUAUUCUCUUGAUAGCCGGCCUUGGCUUUCCGCCUCUCAAGCAUUGUGGAUAUAAGAUGAAGUUGUUCGUUGAUAACAAAUAAGCAAUAUAAUCCAGCCAAUCAUCCUAUGAGUCUUGGUAGGAGCAAACAUAUCGAGAGAAGAUGUCAUUUUCUUAGAGAACAAGUAAAUAAGGAUAGGAUAGAAAUAAAAAUCGGCUAGAACUUGUAGAUAUUCUCACGAUACCUUUGAAGAAAGCAAGGUUUGAAGAGUUGAAGAGCUUAUGGAAUGAGAAAACUAGCAAACAUGAAUUAUGAGGAGUGAGUGUUUAAUUCCCAUAGUUUUUAGUUUGAUUGUUUGAGACAAGUCAGUUGCUUGUCUGUC